UGCAUUACAUUCAAAACCGCUUAUGGUACAAACACAUUUUUUGCAUGUACUGUGUAAAUAGUCCACAUACCUUGACAGGUCAAGCAUGCUUGGCCUCUUCUAUGUCACCUCCUUGUAUGGACAGCUAACCUUUUGACAAAAUCCAUUUCCCAUAAAUGUUAUUUCCUUAGGCAAAUGAACCGUUUGUUCUACAGGUUUAGUUCAUUUUACUCCAUCCUGUCAACGGACACAAUGUUGAACCAAUUGUCAUGUUAGGGUAUGUGAAGAAAUUGUUCCUAGAGGUUAAUAGUCAUCAUAAUAGACGUUGAAAUAUAUGGGGGAGAAAGAGACGGAUGGAAGGCAGCCUCUGCAACUUUGUACGGAAACUCUGAUGCCCUCGGUACCAUGGGACAAUGGGAAGGAACAAGAGAGGAACACAUGAACAAAGAGAGGCAACAAAGGAAAGACAAAGGGAGCGUAUGAAGAGAUUAUGUGAAGGUCAUGUAUAUGCAAUUAUUGCGGAUGAGAACAACGAAGAAGGAACAGAUUACUUUUUGUGUCGUUGUAUUGAGGCCAAAAAGAAAUUGACUUCUACAGUGGUUGAUGGAGAGGGUAUUGAGUACCCAAUAGGAUUUGUUGUUGUUGUGACAGGGACAUGACUUAGAAGGUACCCUAUCAAAAAUUUUAAUGCCUGGUUGUUUGAGGACUUUGAGACACGUAGACAUAUUCUUCAUUACUCAAGCCUUCUUGUUGCAACAAAUAUUCAUUUGAUUAAAUAUCGUGGUAGACCUCUUAACAAGGAUUUGUGGAAAGUUCGUGAAUUAGACCACGAGGCAAUACUUGAGACACUAAGGGUUAGAGCUGAUCGAGAAGGUUCACUUGAUUGAUUUUGGGCCAUCUAAAAGAAUAAUUCUAUAAUAUGGUAGAAUAAUUUUGACAAUUUUGUAUAUAUCU